CAAAAUAAAAAAAGGGACCAGAUUGCACCACAGCGCAAAAGCAGAGGGACCUAUUGCGAAAAUAUCCCCCUAAGCGAAAACGUGCGGAUCCUAUUUGCUGGUCGGGUCAACACGCGGAUCCAGGGGGUAAAACGACGUCGUUCCGACGCCCAUGUGCACAGGCGCAAAAUGACGUCGUUUCAUGCACUUAUAUAAGCUA
rnacentral:lncRNA from 1 species